rnacentral:lncRNA from 1 species
UUUGAAAUGAUUAAUUCGUGUAGAUUUAUACUAAAAAUAGUGAUAUCCACUUUACACACAUUGGUCUUUGCUUUUAAAAACUCUAUUUUAUACAGUUAUGCCAUUGACACUAGUCUGAACAGUUUUGAAAUCGGAUAAUUAUACCCAAAACAAUUAAUUGCAAUGUACCUUCUAGAAAACAAAAUGGAUGUGUUCAAUUUUAGGUAAAUCUGGUGAGUUUGUUGUUAAAAAAAAAUUAAAAACAAGACAAAACUGUGAAAAGCCCGUGUUCAAAGAAGUUGAUAUAUACCCCUCAGGAUUAAUUGUGUAUUUCCUUAUCCGUUGUUAAGUGUGUCACUUGUAUAUCCUUUAAUAUACAUGUAGUUGUUUUUAGAAUGUUUUAUAUUUCUUACGUUUUCCA